rnacentral:rRNA from 1 species
UACGUAGGGGGCAAGCGUUGUCCGGAAUCAUUGGGCGUAAAGCGCGUGUAGGCGGUCCGGUAAGUCCGCUGUAAAAGUCGGGGGCUCAACCCUCGGAUGCCGGUGGAUACUGUCGGGCUUGAGUACGGAAGAGGCGAGUGGAAUUCCUGGUGUAGCGGUGAAAUGCGUAGAUAUCAGGAGGAACACCUGUGGCGAAAGCGGCUCACUGGACCAUAACUGACGCUGAUGCACGAAAGCUAGGGGAGCAAACAGG